GCAUUGCAGCCUUGCGCGCCCCCAGGCCUGCAGCUGCCUGGGGCCCAAGCAGGAUUGGGGGGCAGAAGAAAUGGGAGCAGCUCUUGGGCUGAGUGUGGGGUUAGGGGAGCCAGAAAUGGCAGCUCUCCCAGGGAGUGAGCAGCUACUGUAACUUUUUAAAAUUAAGACAAAAAGCCUUGAAGAAAAUGACUUUAUUUUUCUAAGUGUAACCUCAGUAUUUAUGUAAUUUGUACAGGGGCCGUGCCCCACCCCCUCUGCCCCCUUUGGGGUAGAUCUUGAGGGUGGGCCAACAUGGCAGAGGGUCUUUUACCCUGUGUCAGAGCCUACCUUCACCACCUGUAUCAGAGAGGGAGCUUUUUCAGAACAGGGCAGUGGGGGGGUGGGUGGAGUUUUAUUAACCCCUUAGGUCUGCCUUGAGUAGAAACAAGCCUGCUUCUGUGAUUAGGUGAAGGGGUGGGGGAAGUUUAUACAUACAGCCUAAUUAUCAUGGGGACGAUUUGCCGACAUGUUUGAGAACCUCCGGACCUCUAACCCCCUUUGCUGUCUUGCCCCAGUUUGGGGUGCCAAGAUGGAAGCCAUCUUUCUGGCUUUCUCCAGAAGAUAGCAGGGGACUUAUGGGUGGCUUAUGGAUUGGGGCAUGGCAAAUCAGGGGUCAGAGAGUGGGGGAGCUUGGGACUCAGGUCUGCAACUGCCCAGCCCCUUUUCUCUACUCUUUGUUUUCACUCCACCAUCACUCACUCACUCCCCUCUCCCUCACGCUGGGGAGGAGACCUUGAUGAAUUCCUCCUCUCCUUCCCACAAAAGACAGACCCAGUGAGUGAAUCAGGCAAAGUGCUUAUAAUGUGUGUUGUGUGAGCGUGGCCUUGGGAGAACAUGCGUGCGUCAAGGAUGAGGUGGCAUUUUUACAUGCAGCGACCCUUGGUGUUUCCCUUCCUUGGUGGCUCUGGGGUGUGUAUGUGUGUGUGCGCGUGUGCCCGAGUGAAUGUGUGUGUGCGAAUGUGGGGUGUGUAUGUUAGUGGUUUCUACUUCCCCUGGGAUGCUGACCCAGGAAUAGUGGACAUGGUCACAGUCCUAUGUACAGAGCUUUCUUUUGUAUUAAGAAAAAAAUACUCUUUCAAUAAAUGUAUCAUUUUUGUGCACAGAC
ensembl:lncRNA